UGGUUGGUGGCCGUGUGUGAGAUGUGUUA
rnacentral:piRNA from 1 species